CAGUCGCCGCGGGAAUACGAAGGGUGCAAGCGUUAAUCGGAAUUACUGGGCGUAAAGCGUGCGUAGGCGGUGAGUUAAGUCUGCUGUGAAAUCCCCGGGCUCAACCUGGGAAUGGCAGUGGAUACUGGCUCGCUAGAGUGUGUCAGAGGAUGGUGGAAUUCCCGGUGUAGCGGUGAAAUGCGUAGAGAUCGGGAGGAACAUCAGUGGCGAAGGCGGCCAUCUGGGACAACACUGACGCUGAGGCACGAAAGCAUGGGGAGCAAACAGGAUUAGAUACCCCCGUAGUCCCUGUCUCUUAUAC
rnacentral:rRNA from 1 species